rnacentral:lncRNA from 1 species
AUGGGCAUCUCUCCGGACAACUGGCACAAGUUCCACAAGACCGAAGGUAAGAGAAAAACAUACCACACAAAGCGGAAGUAUGAGCUGGGACGGCCUGCUGCCAACACUAAGACUGGCCCUCCCGCAUACACACAGCCCGAGUUCCAGGAGGCAAUCAGAAGCACCAUGCCCUGAGAUGGGAUGUGGGGAACUUUUCCUGGGGCUCUGAGUGUUGUACUUGCAAAACAAGGAUCAUCGAUGCUGUGUCUACAGUGCAUCCAACAACGAGCUUGUCCACAUCAAGACCCUGGUGAAGAACUGCAUUGUGCUUAUGGACAGCACGCCGUAGGGCAAUGGGACGAGUCCCACUAUGCACUGCCCCUGGGUGGCAAGAAAGGGGGCCAAGCUGACUCCUGAGGAGGAAGAAAUUUUAAACAAAAAAGAAAAAAAAAGAUAAAAAAAAAUUCAAAAGAAAUAUGACGAAAGGAAAAAAAAAAUGCCAAAAUCAGCAGUCUUCUGGAGGCGCAGUUCCAGCAGGGUAAGCUUUUGCCUGUAUCGCCUCAAGACCAGGCCAGUGUGGCAGAGAUGGUUAUGUGCUCAAAGGCAAAGAGCUGGAGUUCUGUCUGUGGAAAAUCAAAGCCCGGAAAGGCAAAUAA